rnacentral:misc_RNA from 1 species
AAGUCGUAACAAGGUCUCCGUUGGUGAACCAGCGGAGGGAUCAUUACAGAGUUCUGAAAAGACUCCCAAACCAUUGUGAACUUUACCCGUGCUGCGUGGAGGCCCUUCCUGGGGCCGCGGGGUGCCCGCCGGCGCUAAGCAAACAUUCUGUAUUUUAGUGGCCUCUCUGAGAAAAAACAAAUAAGUUAAAA